UACGUAGGGGGCUAGCGUUGUCCGGAAUCAUUGGGCGUAAAGCGCGUGUAGGCGGUCCGGUAAGUCCGCUGUGAAAGUCGAGGGCUCAACCCUCGAAUGCCGGUGGAUACUGUCGGGCUAGAGUACGGAAGAGGCGAGUGGAAUUCCUGGUGUAGCGGUGAAAUGCGCAGAUAUCAGGAAGAACACCAAUGGCGAAGGCAGCUCUCUGGGACGGUACUGACGCUGAGACGCGAAAGCGUGGGGAGCGAACAGG
rnacentral:rRNA from 1 species